CCCAAGUGGUGAAGGGGUCGCACUCGAAAUGCGAUAGGUCGGCAACGGCGCGUGGGUUCAACCCCCAC
rnacentral:tRNA from 1 species